rnacentral:rRNA from 1 species
CGGGUAGCGGAACACGUACGCAACCUUCCUUUAACUGGAGAAUAGCCCCUCGAAAGAGGGAUUAAUACUCCGUAACAUGUACAUGUGGCAUCACAAGGACAUUAUAGCUCCGGCGGUUAAAGAUGGGCGUGCGCCUGAUUAGAUAGUUGGCGGGGUAACGGCCCACCAAGUCUGCGAUCAGUAACUGGUGUGAGAGCACGACCAGUCACACGGGCACUGAGACACGGGCCCG